UGGGGAAUAUUGCACAAUGGGCGAAAGCCUGAUGCAGCAACGCCGCGUGAGUGAUGAAGGUCUUCGGAUUGUAAAGCUCUGUCUUUUGGGACGAUAAUGACGGUACCAAAGGAGGAAGCCACGGCUAACUACGUGCCAGCAGCUGCGGUAAUACGUAGGUGGCGAGCGUUGUCCGGAUUUACUGGGCGUAAAGGGUGCGUAGGCGGAUGUUUAAGUGAGAUGUGAAAUACCCGGGCUUAACUUGGGUGCUGCAUUUCAAACUGGAUAUCUAGAGUGCAGGAGAGGAGAAUGGAAUUCCUAGUGUAGCGGUGAAAUGCGUAGAGAUUAGGAAGAACACCAGUGGCGAAGGCGAUUCUCUGGACUGUAACUGACGCUGAGGCACGAAAGCGUGGGUAGCAAACAGGAUUAGAUACCCUGGUAGUCCACGCCGUAAAA
rnacentral:rRNA from 1 species